rnacentral:rRNA from 1 species
CCUACGGGAGGCUGCAGUGGGGAAUAUUGGACAAUGGGGGCAACCCUGAUCCAGCCAUGCCGCGUGUGUGAAGAAGGCCCUCGGGUUGUAAAGCACUUUCAGUGAGGAAGAACGCCUGGUGGUUAAUACCCAUCAGGAAAGACAUCACUCACAGAAGAAGCACCGGCUAACUCCGUGCCAGCAGCCGCGGUAAUACGGAGGGUGCGAGCGUUAAUCGGAAUUACUGGGCGUAAAGCGCGCGUAGGUGGCUUGAUAAGCCGGUUGUGAAAGCCCCGGGCUCAACCUGGGAACGGCAUCCGGAACUGUCAAGCUAGAGUGCAGGAGAGGAAGGUAGAAUUCCAGGUGUAGCGGUGAAAUGCGUAGAGAUCGGGAGGAAUACCAGUGGCGAAGGCGGCCUUCUGGACUGACACUGACACUGAGGUGCGAAAGCGUGGGUAGCAAACAGGAUUAGAUACCCCGGUAGUC